AGCCAGGAACCAUGCGAAUAGGCCGCGCCCAACCCCGCCAGGUCCGGAAGGAAGCAACGGUAAGCGCUUGUUUAUGGCGCCGUGGCCCCCCUGGGUGCG
rnacentral:SRP_RNA from 1 species